GGACGAAUAGCUCCAAUGGCAGAGCAGCGGUUUGAAGCACCGUGGUUACAGGUUCGAAUCCUGUUUCGUCCG
rnacentral:tRNA from 1 species